CUCUCAUCUUAGUCAUCUUUCUUCAAUCCAAUAGCUAGGUCAUAUUUUGCAAGGUCAGCUAUAUCCCUGUGUAGAUCUGUCCUCAGUGUAGAUUCUAGAGUGGUGGUACCUAAACCUGGCUGCUCAUCAGGACCUUAUGGGCAGCCUGGACAAUGAUAAUCAUUCCACUUUAUUUCUAAAAUUGUCAUUAAAAUAGAGAAAUGGAGGACAGCCUGAUUUAUAUGACUGUGACACCCUCUAUUGGUGUAUUGCCAAUGGAGAUGGCCCGGAGUCUUUGUAAUUUUGAACCAAGGAAAUAAUAAAAAGCCAUGAUAAACAUCUGCUGGCAGGUUCCCAUUGUCAACCCUCUCCUACAACACUUUAUUUGAAAGAAAUAGUCCUUCCAACGUAUGCAGAGCCUAUUUUCCUUGCUGCCUAAUUGUUCUGAGAUGCUGAAAAAUGGUAACUGUGAGAAGGCAUAUCCUGUUGAACAGAGGUCUGAUUGCCUCAAAGACGAGCAACAGUGAAUGAUAUAAAAUAAAAGUUGUGUUUUAUUUCACGUAUUUUGGUACAACUCUUGGUUCUGGAGAAGGUAAAUUGAGUCUUCCUUUUUAAAAAAGUACUUCUUUAGUUUCAAGAAACAAAAGGAAAUUGUAGCAUAAGAGGAAAAAU
rnacentral:lncRNA from 1 species